CUCGGGGUGGUUGUCUGGCUUCGGUGUUUUCUGGCUGCCCCUCUCCGGGGGGUGCCGGUUGCUCUCCACCCACGCGUGCACCCCCCCAGCACCAGGCUCCGCUGUAGCCAUCCACGAAACCUUUGUGGAGGACAAAGCUGAAGCGGCCCUCUCUGCCCUGCAGAUGCUGAGGGUGGAGGAGAGGAGUGGGGUGUCAGGCACAGUGACCCCAGGAAAUGUAGGUCUGACCGGUCUGACCCAGCCCUCAGCACCCUCACCGGGACAAGGAACUGGAACUGGAACGAGUCUGGCUUCUUCGACUGCUUUAUGAAGUGUCCCUUUAUUAGCCACAUCGAGGCUUUUUCCUGACAAGCCACACAGCAGCAGAGAGCACCAGUCACAAAACGAGGCUGCAUGGUCCAGCGGUUAGAGCCAAGGCAGCACUGCCAGCAGGAUUGUGGGCUCUAAUCCCCCGCUGAGCUGUUGACUCACUGUGCAAACCCAGGCAGGUCCUGCCUCUUUGUGCCGCAGCGAAGCCCAGCUGGAAAGUUGGGUAAAUAGCAGGAACCUCUUGGAGGAAAAAAAAAAAAAAAAAAAAAAAAAAAAAAAAAAAAAAAAA